AUUGAACGCUGGCGGCAGGCCUAACACAUGCCAGUCGAACGGUAACAGGAAGAAUCUUGCUUCUUUGCUGACGAGUGGCGGACGGGUGAGUAAUGUCUGGGAAACUGCCUGAUGGAGGGGGAUAACUACUGGAAACGGUAGCUAAUACCGCAUAACGUCGCAAGACCAAAGAGGGGGACCUUCGGGCCUCUUGCCAUCGCAUUUGCCCAGAUGGGGUUAGCUAGUAGGUGGGGUAACGGCUCACCUAGGCGACGAUCCCUAGCUGGUCUGAGAGGAUGACCAGCCACCCUGGAACUGAGACACGGUCCAGACUCCUACGGGAGGCAGCAGUGGGGAAUAUUGCACAAUGGGCGCAAGCCUGAUGCAGCCAUGCCGCGUGUAUGAAGAAGGCCUUCGGGUUGUAAAGUACUUUCAGCGGGGAGGAAGGGAGUAAAGUUAAUACCUUUGCUCAUUGACGUUACCCGCAGAAGAAGCACCGGCUAACUCCGUG
rnacentral:rRNA from 1 species